AGAUCUCAAACCUACUAUCAUUGAUGAGGAAAAUCAAAAUCAUUUAUAGCAUAGAACGCUACUAGUGACCCUUUCCUUUUCUGGGAGCACAUGAUAGUUCUGUCAUAUGAAACUAGAUGCUGGUUUUUAGUAGGGUUGCAACGACAUCAGCCAAAAUUUCGGAAUCUUUUCUUAAGCUUCAAUAAAAGUUAGCCUUGGCGUUGCUUGAAUUGGUAAUAACUAUGUCUUUGAUGUCACAUUUGACAAGUAAGCUUCUUAAGCUUUAGUCCUAGGUGAUUUCUAGAAGUUACCACCAAGGAAAAGAAGCCAAAGUAUCAUAUCCAUGGAAUCAUAUCAGAAAUCCUACACCACUGUUCACUUUGGCAGGCCUCAAAUUCAGUAUAUCAAGGUGGUCCUUGAAUAAUAGCUUCCCUCCAAAUAUUUGUUGUUAUAAGGUACAAUAUCACAAUAUAGGGUCAAAAUCCCAUUUUAUCCUAGGUUGAAAGCUAAAUGUUAAUAAAACUAUAAAGGCACUUCUUUUUAAGUAGCUGCUGCUUUUAAUGAAACUACCAUAGUGUUUUUUUUUUGGAAUAUUCUGCCAUAGUAUUUUUAACUGACCUCAUGAAGGAUCCCGAGGCAUUUAAUUAGUGUGGAUUGUUCAGAAAUUCUGGCUAUAACAGUGGAGAAGUGUUUCGAACUAGAAGAAUCCUUUAUCAUACAUUUACUGUGAUUCGGUAAUCCAAGUUUAGAAAAACUGAAGAGAAUUCAAACCCCCUGUUAUGUCAUUAAAUCCUGUUUAGUUAAUGUCUCACUCUCAAAUUUUUUGCAACAGCUACCAAAAUACCAUGCUUUGCUAGCCCAGUCAAAAUCCUGUUUCACUAUUUUGAUGUUCAGAACUUAGUAAACCCUAAUUAUGUUCAUUGUAGUUAUCAAUUAUGUUCUGACCAAGGUAUUCAAUACCGUGCCGAUGGACGUAUUGUUUUUCAACUGGAACUGAUGCAUACCGGUA
rnacentral:lncRNA from 1 species